rnacentral:rRNA from 1 species
GGCUACCAUGCAGUCGAGCGGAAGGCCCUUCGGGGUACUCGAGCGGCGAACGGGUGAGUAACACGUGAGCAACCUGCCCUAGGCUUUGGGAUAACCCCGGGAAACCGGGGCUAAUACCGAAUAGGACCACCGGUCGCAUGGUUGGUGGUGGAAAGUUUUUCGGCCUGGGAUGGGCUCGCGGCCUAUCAGCUUGUUGGUGGGGUGAUGGCCUACCAAGGCGACGACGGGUAGCCGGCCUGAGAGGGCGACCGGCCACACUGGGACUGAGACACGGCCCAGACUCCUACGGGAGGCAGCAGUGGGGAAUAUUGCACAAUGGGCGGAAGCCUGAUGCAGCGACGCCGCGUGAGGGAUGACGGCCUUCGGGUUGUAAACCUCUUUCAGCAGGGACGAAGCGUAAGUGACGGUACCUGCAGAAGAAGCGCCGGCCAACUACGUGCCAGCAGCCGCGGUAAGACGUAGGGCGCGAGCGU